UUCACUGGCUUUCACUGUUACUCAUAUUACAAAUAAUGUGAAAAGUCAGAUAUGGAGUGAACUGGAUAUUUAAAGGCAAUGCAUAACCCAAUGGUUUGUUGCAGUACUUGGGAAUGUUCCAUUCAGGACAAAAAAAAAAAAAAAAAGGAAUGAAGGUUAGUCAAUGGAAAUGAGAGAAAAAUUAGAGCUAAAGAAAGUGCGAUUGGAUUUUACAAAGAAACCGGGGAGAACUGUGGAGCUCCAAUGAUUCUAUGUGGCUGCUGGAAGAAGGGGCUGAUGUGGGAUGAAGACCAUGCAUUAACUGUCAGAGCAGGAUAAUCUCUUUGUAUACAAGAAUGAUAGGCAUCUAUUGUUCAGUGGCCAAAGUCAACUGCUGCUGUUCCCAAAACGUCACAGAAGGAGAGAUUCAUAGUGCAAGUUAGGGUCUGAUCCGAAGCACUACAGACUUGGGAAGAGAAUGUAGGGAGUGGGUGGGUGGGUAAUUCACAUGUUCAAGAUUGGUGAACACAUUUCUCAACCCAGCUAAAAACCACAGAAACCUCAUUCUACUGCAAUUAUCUGGGCACUU
rnacentral:lncRNA from 1 species